rnacentral:rRNA from 1 species
AGUGAACGCUGGCGGUAGGCCUAACACAUGCAAGUCGAACGGCAGCACAGUAAGAGCUUGCUCUUACGGGUGGCGAGUGGCGGACGGGUGAGGAAUACAUCGGAAUCUACUUUUUCGUGGGGGAUAACGUAGGGAAACUUACGCUAAUACCGCAUACGACCUACGGGUGAAAGCAGGGGAUCUUCGGACCUUGCGCGAUUGAAUGAGCCGAUGUCGGAUUAGCUAGUUGGCGGGGUAAAGGCCCACCAAGGCGACGAUCCGUAGCUGGUCUGAGAGGAUGAUGAGGCAGAAUGGAAGAGAGACAGGGCACAGAAUCCAACGGGAGGCAGACGUGGGGAGUAGGGGACAAUGGGCGCAAGCUUGAACCACCCAUAUCGUGGGGGUGAAGAACGCCGUCGAGAUGCAAAGCCCUUCUGUCGGGAAAGAAAAGCAGCAGGUUAACACACCGCUGUUCUGACGGCACGCAAAGAAUAAAAACCGGCUAGUUUCGAG